UUUUUGAUGUGUUAGCAGAAAUUCUAAUUAAAAAGCUGGUUUACAAGUGGGAAGGUGUAACCAGCCAGCGAAGCGCUGAAGCCUGGCCAGGGUGGGCAUCACUUUGCUCGCGCCCAGGGCCAUUUGGCCACUCUCUCUGCAGUGAAACUGCUGUGUUAUUUCUUAAAAAAACCCAUCCCUGGCACCGUGCCUCCUGGGAGCAGGAGCUGGGCAGCCCUGCCUCCUCCAGAUAAAGCAAUGGCUUUCCUUGUGCUGCGGGGAGGAGGGGGGAUGGCUGCCUUAUCUUCCUUCCUCCAGCACCAUGUGGGAAUGCGUCAUCUUCUUUUUUUUUUAUUUGCUAAAUAUAAAAUAAGGCCGGUUUUUAGCAUGUGGGAGCUGGCAAGUUUCCCAGAGCACGUCCUGGGCAGGAGUGGCUGGCAGGAGUGGCUGGCAUCCGUGGGUGCUCCCUGCCUGCUCGUCCACCCCAACCAGCCAGGUAGCCCUGGGACCUCCUGGCCCUGCCACCUGGGAGGUGAUGAUGCAGCUCCAGGAUUGGGCUGUCCUGUAAAACUUUUCAGAGCAGAAACUGCAAAGAAGGAAGCCCAGCCCAAGGUCUGUCCCCGCUGCCUGUCACCGCCAGAGCUUCUCCU
rnacentral:lncRNA from 1 species